rnacentral:rRNA from 1 species
AGUGAACGCUGGCGGUAGGCCUAACACAUGCAAGUCGAACGGCAGCACAGUAAGAGCUUGCUCUUACGGGUGGCGAGUGGCGGACGGGUAAGGAAUACAUCGGAAUCUACUUUUUCGUGGGGGAUAACGUAGGGACACUUACGCUAAUACCGCAUACGACCUACGGGUGAAAGCAGGGGAUCUUCGGACCUUGCGCGAUUGAAUGAGCCGAUGUCGGAUUAGCUAGUUGGCGGGGUAAAGGCCCACCAAGGCGACGAUCCGUAGCUGGUCUGAGAGGAUGAUCAGCCACACUGGAACUGAGACACGGUCCAGACUCCUACGGGAGGCAGCAGUGGGGAAUAUUGGACAAUGGGCGCAAGCCUGAUCCAGCCAUACCGCGUGGGUGAAGAAGGCCUUCGGGUUGUAAAGCCCUUUUGUUGGGAAAGAAAAGCAGUAGGUUAAUACCCCGCUGUUCUGACGGUACCAAAAGAAUAAGCACCGGCUAACUUCGUG